UGGGGAAUUGUUCGCAAUGGGCGCAAGCCUGACGACGCAACGCCGCGUGGAGGAUGAAGAUUUUCGGAUCGUAAACUCCUUUCGAUCGGGACGAACGGCUGGAGACCUAACACGUCUUCAGAGUGACGGUACCGAGAGAAGAAGCCCCGGCUAACUCCGUGCCAGCAGCCGCGGUAAUACGGGGGGGGCAAGCGUUGUUCGGAAUUACUGGGCGUAAAGGGCGCGUAGGCGGCCUGCUAAGUCACACGUGAAAUCCCUCGGCUCAACCGGGGAACUGCGUGUGAUACUGGCGGGCUUGAAUUCGGGAGAGGGAUGUGGAAUUCCAGGUGUAGCGGUGAAAUGCGUAGAUAUCUGGAGGAACACCGGUGGCGAAGGCGGCAUCCUGGACCGACAUUGACGCUGAGGCGCGAAAGCCAGGGGAGCAA
rnacentral:rRNA from 1 species